ACAAAAUUUAAAUAAUGCUAAAAUAUUUUAAUCGCUGAAAUUAAUUAGCAAAAAUUAGUUUCUUCAACAAAACCCUCGUAACAAUUCACUCCGACAAUUGAUUACAUUCGACAAUAACGUGAAUUUGCCAGAGCCGAGAAAUUCGAUUAAAAGACAGAAAGAAGAUAUUUUCAGAGGAUUUUAACAUUUCAUUCGCAAACAUCGUGGUUUCCGACUCUACAUAUCAAUUAGCUAUAUCACAUCAAUGAAGAAAAACGAUCGUCCACGAUUCCUUGAUUCCAGAAGAAGAAUGUAAAAUUUCUAAGAUUUAUUCUUGAUUCUGAUGCAACAGAGCUUUCGUCAGACGCUCCAAUUACAGUUCUAUUUCUAAAUUCGAACUGCAGUUGGAGUGUCCGACAAGGUAAGUGUUAAAAGUAUUGAGGACCUAUCGGAUUCUAACGAUAAUUAUUCUUCCAAAGAGAAAAAUAUACAGAAGAAACUGGCUUUAUUCAAAGGCAUGGCUUGAAGGGGCAAAAAUUGAGAAUAAGAUAACAUUAGAAGGGAAUUCGUGAAAAGUGAAGAGAAUUUGGAAGGAGAAAAAAUACUUCUCGCGAGACAGUCCGUCUAUUCACUAGAGGACCAGCUUCAAAGAGUAGAUCCAAUCCCGAGAUUUCCCAAUUGAUAAGUAAAAACGUGGACAACAAUUUCGACUUGGAGAGCAAAUGCAAAUCAUUUUAAAUCAGUGGCAAUAUUUUGACGUUUUGUCUUUUAUUGGCUAGAAAAAUUCUAAGAGUGAAAACUUAAAACAAUAUAAUCCAGUUAUAUACUUGGAUGGGUUGCUGUCUUCAGAUUUCAGGUAAGGUGAUGUAUUAGGGCUUGGUAAAUGCCAUUUAUUUCCUGAGAAAGGUAACCAACAGUAGUUAACGUCCUCAAUAUGAAUGGAGUAAUGGUUCAGGAUUAUUGUAAAAGUUUUGAUGGGCUGGUAGUUGAUAGCAUGACUGCGUUCUCCCUUGGAGCAAAUGGACGCUAUGAAUUUAAAUAAGUUAUUCAUGGCGGCGAAUAUUCCUCACGUCAAACAAAAUUCAGCAGAUGAAAGUGAAGAAUUGUGUUGUAUGGAACCUAGCUCCCAUUCAGGAGAUAUCUUUUCUUAGCACUUUUAUGCCAGUAACGUAAAGAUGAAAGCAUCGAGUACAAGACACUGUUCAUUAGAUACGUAAGCAGAGAAGAUCAGUUUUCCUCCGUUUCGAUUACGUUUGUUAUAAUGUGUGCAAUAGAAUAGAACAAAUGAAACAGAUUAGCCUAGGAGCUGAGAGGAAAUCAAUUAUAAGAGUUGGUGAUAUUUCCGAAAAUAAUUUUGAGUAUUAACUAGAAGUUUGUUAUUAUUAAAAAAUAUUGGAAAUGAAAUGACGGGCCAUUAGGUUGUCACAUACGGUUGAUAAUCCGAAACAUGAUCUUUCCUUUUAAUUGAAUUUGUGGGACCUUUUCCCUCCAGAGCGGUUGUUUGAUAUGACUGGCAGAAUUCUAGAUGUCUCUGUGCUGAAUUAAAAAUGGCAGCCAUAAGGGAUAAGACUUGAUAGUAACGUCUUUAAUUUUUCAAAGAAAAAAUUCAAAUUUCUUGUCAUUUUAGAUAUUUAACUAUUAAAUUGUAAUUAUUUGAGUGUUUUUAAGGGGAUCAAC
rnacentral:lncRNA from 1 species